CACGUAGGGCGCAAGCGUUGUCCGGAAUUAUUGGGCGUAAAGAGCUCGUAGGCGGUCUGUUACGUCUGCUGUGAAAACCCGGGGCUUAACCCUGGGCUUGCAGUGGAUACGGGCAGACUAGAGGCAGGUAGGGGAGAAUGGAAUUCCCGGUGUAGCGGUGAAAUGCGCAGAUAUCGGGAGGAACACCGGUGGCGAAGGCGGGUCUCUGGACAGUUCCUGACACUGAGACACGAAGGCCAGGGGAGCAAACGGG
rnacentral:rRNA from 1 species